UACGUAGGCAGCGAGCGUUGUUCGGAGUUACUGGGCGUAAAGGGCGCGUAGGCGGCCCUCCAAGUCAGAUGUGAAAGCCCCGGGCUUAACCUGGGAAUAGCAUUUGAGACUGAAGGGCUUGAGUUUCGGAGAGGUGGGUGGAAUUCCCAGUGUAGAGGUGAAAUUCGUAGAUAUUGGGAAGAACACCGGUGGCGAAGGCGGCCCACUGGACGAACACUGACGCUGAGGCGCGAAAGCGUGGGGAGCAAACAGG
rnacentral:rRNA from 1 species